CGCGUAGGCGGUUUGUUUAGUUAGGCGUGAAAUUCCUGGGCUUAACCUGGGGACUGCGCUUAAUACAGGCAGACUUGAGUUCGGAAGAGGGUCGUGGAACUCCCAGUGUAGAGGUGAAAUUCGUAGAUAUUGGGAAGAACACCGGUGGCGAAGGCGGCGACCUGGUCCGAUACUGACGCUGAGGCGCGAAAGCGUGGGGAGCAAACA
rnacentral:rRNA from 1 species